rnacentral:lncRNA from 1 species
GCUUGUUUGACGAAAGUGUGGCAUGGCUUUUUGGUUUAAAGCUUUCCUUCCAACGUUGGAGGACCGCUAGCCGGUGGGUGCAUGCAUUUAUUGCAUGUUGAGGGCGGUGUACAUUUUUCUUUACAAGAUGGAGGGAACUCGUGACAUGCGUUGACUUUUGCAAAGCAUUUGAUGGUAUUAUUAUUAUGUUUUUUUUGGUAGAAGAUGGUAUUAUCACAUGUGAAGUCUUGGACUGUCCUUUUGUUAAAUAUAUCUCAUGAUAUUUGUUUUCAUACACCGCUAU